UGGGGAAUAUUGCACAAUGGGCGCAAGCCUGAUGCGGCCAUGCCGCGUGUGUGAAGAAGGCCUUCGGGUUGUAAAGCACUUUCAGCGAGGAGGAAGGUGGUGGACUUAAUACGUUCAUCAAUUGACGUUACUCGCAGAAGAAGCACCGGCUAACUCCGUGCCAGCAGCCGCGGUAAUACGGAGGGUGCAAGCGUUAAUCGGAAUUACUGGGCGUAAAGCGCACGCAGGCGGUUUGUUAAGUCAGAUGUGAAAUCCCCGGGCUCAACCUGGGAACUGCAUUUGAAACUGGCAAGCUAGAGUCUCGUAGAGGGGGGUAGAAUUCCAGGUGUAGCGGUGAAAUGCGUAGAGAUCUGGAGGAAUACCGGUGGCGAAGGCGGCCCCCCUGGACGAAGACUGACGCUCAGGUGCGAAAUCGUGGGGCAGCAAACAGGAUUAGAUACCCUGGUAGUCCACGCUGUAAACGAUGUCGAUUUGGAGGUUGUGCCCUUGAGGCGUGGCUUCCGGAGCUAACGCGUUAAAUCGACCGCCUGGGGAGUACGGCCGCAGGGUUAAAACUCAAAUGAAUUGACGGGUCUAGCU
rnacentral:rRNA from 1 species